ensembl:lncRNA
GGCCGAGACUGGUUAAAUUGAUGACAAAAACUCAGGGAGUUUAUCGGUCGGACCGUUAAUUUAAAAAUUGUCUAAAUUGUGUAGGUUUUGAAAUGAGAAGCCUAAAAUCUGUGCAGUUGUAAUCAUAGGACGUCUGUGUAAAUAGAUUAAGAGACUUGUCUGAGUCUGAGAGUCAGGCUGGUAUUAUUUUUAGAUUGUGUGUGUGUGUGUGAGAAUGCAAAUAAGGCAGCUGAGAGGUCAAUAGAAUAUGAGGAAGUUAAUAGGGACUGCUAGACAUUGCUGGUGCAUGUACUUAAGACGCUGGUUUUGUUUAUUACAAUAUCAGGCCUGGAAGAGAGUGAACUGACGGCGCGGACAAAUUACCAAGUAAGGAUUGCAGCGAGUCAAUCCAGUCAAAAGUAUAGAGAACUAUUUUCCUAAAAAGGAAAAACGAAAUAAAACAAAUGAUUGAGCUCAUUUUGCUGAUGUGGAGCAUCUGAUCACGUGCGCAGAAGGCUGCAGAUCAGCAAAAAUAUCAUGUGUGAAUGCAUGGGAGUGAAUGUGAGUGAUGGGACCAAGAGGGAAAUAAAUAAAAGGUUGACAAACAGGACAAGUGGGAGACUUAAAUCUGGGGAUGCUGAUUUUGGGAUAUUGAUGUGUGCGUUGAGAAAAUUAUUUAUUGGGGUUGGAUUAUGUUAUUACAUUAUAGGAUGCUAAAUG